CCUCUGGUCUCAACUGCAUAAACUCCAGGAUGUAUUUUUAUAACUUUCAGUUUGUUUUAGCACUGUCUUGCAGAGAAUGUUUGAUAAUAACCUUUAAUUUGGGGAGAAACUACUGCAGACUCUAAUUAAGGCAGCCUUUUUUUUUGUUUUUAAAAUAAUAAUAAUUAACCAAUAGCUGUAGCGUUUUAAAGAAUAAGAGACCUCCCCUUGUUAAGUUGUUCUGAGAGGAUAUUUUUAAUUAGGACAUCUCCCAGAGAGGUAAUAUGUUCUAGCUGGUGCCUUAAGCAAACAAGAAAUAAGUAUGAAGCCUUUUUCCUCAAGGAAACAACCUUCCAUUUAAAUACAUACAAGAGGGGAAGCUCAAGGCAUGGAGGAGGGGGUGAGUUGCCAAAAGUUGCAGCAGCAGCCCAGGAGCAGAGGUCUGCCAGACAUUUCAUGUGCCAGCCCAGGCUCCCUCCAUUCACCUGCAGCAGUACCACAACAUCAAGCACAGAAACAAUGAGCUGAGGGAGUAAGAGGAAAGAAUCCAAAUUUUACCAAAUAAGCUGGAAAUUAUGAAGCAAUAGCAAGCAGAUGAGCUAUACUUUAAGGACUGGACAAAAAGCAUCUAUGUUUCAUUAGAGAAAACAAACAAAAAAACCAUUUUCAUCAAAAAUUAAUCUAAACAUGGCGCUAGCCAUGUUACUUCUUUGAGCCUGGCAGGAGGCAUGUUGUUUUCAACAUUUUCCCUCUGCAGCUCAUGGUCUCCUUCAGGUUUCACAAUGUGGCUUGCACUCUUUGCUGCAGUUUCUGAGGUGUGCCUUCCAUGAGACAAAGUAGAAACGCAGAACAAAUCUUCUGAAUGGAAAAACUGGGUUGACAAGUCUGACAUUUCUGUGGUUUAUAUUACCUGUUAGUAAAAACAAAUAAGCAAAUCCCAACCACAUUAGGCAGAGAGAGAAAAUAAUUCAUGCAUAUGUUUUCAGUCUUCCAGCAUUUUUAAUUACCCAGGUUUGAUUCUUCACUUCUUAUUCUCCUAGAUUGAAAAAAGCACAUGUUAAUGGUCUUUCCUAAAUACAGCUAUAAAUUCUUCUAAUCAUUUUGCAUUUGUUGUAAUGACAUCAAUUAUUUAUGAGUUGUUACUACUUAGUAGAAAUAAGGAAGCCUUCCAUUACUCUCGUAUCAAUCUCACCCUUAUGAUAUGCGUUUUGACAUAUCAUUGCAGAACUGUACAUGGCAGGACGCCAAAACCAAGCACAGGUUGCAAAGGACUGAGAGCGAUGAGCAUGGGUGCACUGCUGUGUUACACAAAUGCAGUCAAAACACACUAGCUGCAGUACUAGCAGUAACACUUUAGCACUCGUUUCUUAUAUCUUGUUUGUAAUAAUCUGAAGGCUGCUCCCGUGGAUGUAAGUGGAUCCUUUGUUUUUGGAAAAGGGAAGGUUGCCAAAUGAUUAAUAAGGGAAUGAGUGUAAUACCGCAGCAAUGUUAAUUUCUUUCAGAUGCUAAAAGUCAACAUUUGAAAGACAAACACUGUGAGUAUGCAACCUGUAGCUCAGAAAACAUAUCCACAGCAAAUAUCCUGCUCACCCAUACCAAAUGAUAUCAAAUGUAUGCUCCAACUUUGUGAUGUUAACAUAUAGUUUAAGACCUCAGAAAGCAUUCUAGCUGACUGUGAGGAAUUCCCAGUCUUUUCAUGUACGAAAGAUGACUCAGAUGCAAUGCCAUGUAAUACCUGGGGUCACUCUGGUAUGAGAGAUGUUCUCUCCUUUUUGAGAGCAGUGAAGUACAAAUGCCUUUUCAUUUAGACAUAGUCCAUAUUUAUUUAUAGUGCCUUCCAUUUUUCACUUAUAGUUUUCUUUCUGCCUGCCUAACUCUCUAAUGCUAUCUAAAUACACUCAGCUAGAUGUUCCUGUGAAAAAUAAAUGAGAACAGGACUUUAAAACUC